ensembl:lncRNA
CUUGCCUAGAGAAUCCCAGGGAUGGGGGAGCCUUGUGGGCCGCCGUCUAUGGGGUCGCACAGAGUCAGACACGACUGAAGCGACUUAGCAGCAGCAGCAACCUACAUGGAAUUAAUUUUGGUAAAUAGAGUGAGAUUCCUUGGUCCCGUUACACUCCUGUGAAGAAACUAAGACUGGAGACCGUGAGGUUUGACCAAGAGGCACAUGGCAGGGAAAUCUGACACAGCUAGAAAGCAAUGGAAAACACUAAGGGUUGCAUCAGAUGUUGAAGAGAAACUGAUCAUGUCAUGGAGAUAAAAAUGAUCUAAGACGGAUUUUUAAAAAGCUGGUCAUUUAAAGGUAGUAAUCUUUUGGGGGAGAAGCUCACAAGGGUUCCAGAGAUCAGUUAGUCCCUUGUUACAGUCUUAGCCCCAUUUUAGAAAAAGGAAUGGAAGUGUUCUUAUGCUCUUUCUCUU